GAAGCUGGUCAGGCAAUCGCUGUGUUGUUCGCAAUACAGAGGAAAGUCCGGGCUCCGCAGAGCAGAGCGCCAGGUAACGCCUGGAAGGUGAAAGCCUAUGGAAAGUGCAGCAGAAAAUAUACCGCCUACGUACGACUUGUCGUGCCGGUAAGGUUGAAAUGGUGUGGUAAGAGCACACCGCGCAGCAGGUAACUGCUUGUGGCAUGGUAAACCCCGCUCGGAGCAAGACCAAAUAGGGGGACAAUGGAGUGGCUCGCUCUGUCCUCGGGUAGGUCGCUUGAGGUGUGUGGUGACACGCAUCCCAGAUGAAUGGUUGUCCAUGACAGAACCCGGCUUAUCGACCAGCUUCCUCU
rnacentral:RNase_P_RNA from 1 species